GAAGGUCUAUAGCUCAAUGGUAGAGCACAUGUUUUGCAGACAAAGGUCCCAGGUUCAAUCCCUAGCCUUUCCA